UACGUAGGGGGCAAGCGUUGUUCGGAAUUACUGGGCGUAAAGGGCGCGUAGGCGGCCUUCUAAGUCAGAUGUGAAAUCCCCAGGCUUAACUUGGGAACUGCAUCUGAUACUGGGAGGCUUGAGUGCGGGAGAGGGAUGUGGAAUUCCAGGUGUAGCGGUGAAAUGCGUAGAUAUCAGGAGGAACACCGGUGGCGAAGGCGGGUCUCUGGGCAGUAACUGACGCUGAGGAGCGAAAGCGUGGGGAGCGAACAGG
rnacentral:rRNA from 1 species